AUUGCAUUAAGCAAAUACUUAUCCCUCCAUGCAUCGAUGUCCAUGGCCCAGCUACGCUCCUCUCCUGCGAGUGGCAGUGACGGAGAGAUGAGGUGCAGCUGAAAGAAGUUGUUCGGACCAAAUGGAGAAGAUGACGACAGAGAAGAUCCACAUUGGAGAAGACGUCACCUGGGAGGCUCUGGAUGUGAGAGGGUACUGGAAUAAUAUCCUGGCAGAAAAGACAAGAACUCUGUGAGAUCCUGAAAUGGAUAUGAAGUGGGAAGAUGAAGCAGAGGGCAAG